UUUUUGCUCCCUCCGUCCCAAAUUUUUUGUCUUAGAUUUGUCUAGAUAUGGAUGUAUCUAACACUAAAACGUAACUAGAUACAUCCGUAUUUAGACAAAUGUAAGACAAGAAUUUUGGGACGGAGGGAGUAGUAA
rfam:Triticum aestivum genome assembly, contig: Triticum_aestivum_CS42_TGACv1_scaffold_160251_2DL